AAGCCCUUUUAUUAGUGAUUGGGAUAUUUUCCUCAGGCACUAAGAAAGGGUUUCU
rnacentral:pre_miRNA from 1 species